rnacentral:rRNA from 1 species
CGCGCCUCGAAACCCGCCAUCGAAUGAGGCAAGACUACCCGCUGAACUUAAGCAUAUCACUAAGCGGAGGAGAAGAAACUAACCAGGAUGCCCCUAGUAAUGGCGAAUGAAGCGGGCUGAGCUCACGCUGCCAAUCUGGAGGCCUCGCGUAUGCAGCGCCCCCCGAAUUGUGGUCUAGAGAGGCGUUAUCGGCCGCGCCCGCCGCUCAAGUCCCUUGGAACAGGGUGUCGGAGAGGGUGAGAAUCCCGUACCGUGGCGGGUUGCGGCCUUACGAUGCGUCCUCGUCGAGUCGGGUUGCUUGGGAUUGCAGCUUGAAUUGGGUGGUAAAUUCCAUCUAAAGCUAAAUACUGGCGAGAGACCGAUAGCGAACAAGUACCGUGAGGGAAAGAUGCAAAGAACUUUGAAAAGAGAGUCAAAGAGUGCUUGAAAUCGGUAGGAGGAAACCCGGAUGGGCCCGGCUUCGGCGCGCCGACUCAGCCUGGGGUUCUCCCCAGGUGCACUUCUGCGCGCCGGGUCAGCCGCGCCUCGGCGCCGCGCCUCAACCCGGGAGCGGGGCUUUACGGCCAGCUCCCGUCCUGGCGCGGCCCGGGGCCCGGCUGACGGAACGGGCCCCUCCGACCCGUCUAGAAACACGGACCAAGGAGUCUGACACGUGUGCGAGUACCCGGGCGGCAAACCCGCGUGCGCAAUGAAAGUAAAGGGCAUGCCCUGCCAACCGACCUGGACCUUCUGCGAAGGGUUUGAGUGGAGCAUACUUGUCGGGACCCGAAAGAUGGUGAACUAUGCCUGAGGAGGGUGAAGCCAGAGGAAACUCUGGUGGAGGCUCGUAGCGAUACUGACGUGCAAAUCGUUCGUCGAACUUGGGUAUAGGGGCGAAAGACUAAUCGAACCAUCUAGUAGCUGGUUCCCUCCGAAGUUUCCCUCAGGAUAGCUUGAACGCAACGGUUUUGUCAGGUAAAGCGAAUGAUUAGAGGCCUGUGGGCUGAAACAGCUUGCACCUAUUCUCAAACUUUAAAUGGGCAAGAGGCCCGGGAUGCUUGAGUGAUCCCGGGCGGCGAACGGCGCGUUCAAAGUGGGCCAUUUUUGGUAAGCAGAACUGGCGAUGCGGGAUGAACCGAACGCCGCGCUAAGGUACCCAAGUGUCCGCUCAUCAGAUACCACAAAAGGCGUUGGUACCUCCAGACAGCAGGACGGUGGCCAUGGAAGUCGGAACCCGCUAAGGAGUGUGUAACAACUCACCUGCCGAAGGUACUAGCCCUGAAAAUGGAUGGCGCUCAAGCGGACCACCGAUGCGCGGCCGCCGGCGCGAGCGCGAGGCGCCGGCGAGUAGGAGGGCGCGGGGCUCGCGGCGCAGCCUUGGGCGCGAGCCUGGGUGAAGCGGGCCCCGGUGCAGAUCUUGGUGGUAGUAGCAAAUAUUCAAAUGAGAACUUUGAAGACUGAAGUGGAGAAAGGUUCCGUGUGAACAGCAGUUGGACACGGGUGAGCCGACCCUAAGAGACAGGAAAACUCCGCCGAACGCGGCUGGUUCUGUCAGCCCGUCCGUCGAAAGGGAAUCGGGUUAAUAUUCCCGAGCCAGCGCGUGGAUGGUGGGCGGCGACGCGAACGAACCCGGAGACGCCGGCGGGAGCCCUGGGAAGAGUUCUCUUUUCUUCUUAACUGCCUCCUGCCCUGGAAUCGGUUUAGCCGGAGCGAGGGCUACACGGCAGGCAAAGCACCCUAAGUCUUGGGGUGUCCGGCGCGCUCCCGACGGCCCGUGAAAAUCCGGGGGAGCGGUUCGUUCUCACGCCUGGUCGUACUCAUAACCGCAUCAGGUCUCCAAGGUGAACAGCCUCUAGUCGAUAGAGCAAUGUAGGUAAGGGAAGUCGGCAAAAUGGUUCCGCAACCUCGGGAGAAGGAAUGGCUCUGAAGGCUGGGCGCAGGGGUCCUAGGCUCGAGGCCGGCUGGCUGCGCGGGGACUACGGCCUCACGGCUGCGGAUCCCGCGCGGCCGUCCGGCGGACGGCCUAGGAGCGCUCCGGCUCUCCCUGCGCGACGAACAGCCGCUUCAGAACUGGCGCGGACAAGGGGAAUCCGACUGUUUAAUUAAAACAAAGCAUUGCGAUGGCCCGCGAGGGUGCUGACGCAAUGUGAUUUCUGCCCAGUGCUCUGAAUGUCAAAGUGAAGAAAUUCAACCAAGCGCGGGUAAACGGCGGGAGUAACUAUGACUCUCUUAAGGUAGCCAAAUGCCUCGUCAUCCAAUUAGUGACGCGCAUGAAUGGAUUCGUGAGAUUCCCACUGUCCCUAUCUACUGUCUAGCGAAACCACAGCCAAGGGAACGGGCUUGGAAGAAUCAGCGGGGAAAGAAGACCCUGUUGAGCUUGACUCUAGUCUGUUACUGUGGAACGACUUGAUGGGUGUAGAAUAUGCGGGAGGGGCAACCCGACAGUGAAAUACCGCAACCGUCAACGUUGUUUUACUUACUCGGUGGCGCGGAGGGAGGCUCGCCUCACUUCUGGAUCCAAGCCGCUUCGUGCGCGCGAUCCGCGUCGGGGACACUAACAGGUGGGGAGUUUGGCUGGGGCGGCACGUCUGUUAAAAAAUAACGCAGGCGCCCGAUUUUGAGCUCAAUGAGAACAGAAAUCUCAUGUGGACCGAAAGGGGAAAAGCUCGGUUGAUUUUGAUUUUCAGUACGAAUACAAACCGCGAAAGCGUGGCCUAUCGAUCCUCUCGUCUUUGGGAAUUUCAAGCUAGAGGUGUCAGAAAAGUUACCACAGGGAUAACUGGCUUGUGGCUGCCAAGCGUUCAUAGCGACGUAGCUUUUUGAUCCUUCGAUGUCGGCUCUUCCUAUCACUGCCUCGCAGCAGGGGCCAAAUGCAGGAUUGUUCACCCACCAACAGGGAACGUGAGCUGGGUUUAGACCGUCGUGAGACAGGUUAGUUUUACCCUACCGCUGUCGGUUUUUCUACGGUAAUUUGGUUCAGUACGAGAGGAACCACCAAUUCGCAUCCUCGGUAUAGCCGCCGCCGGAAACGGCGAUGCGGCGAAGCUGCCAUGCGCCGGAUUAUAACUGAACGCCUCUAAGUUAGAAUCCAUGCCGGAAGGAAAGCCACCUACCGGCCCGGGGACGCCACGAGCAACGGUAGCACUGCCUGAGCCGCGAGCGACCACAAUUCACGGACCCGGGCCGACGAAUCCCUUGCAGACGACUUG